rnacentral:rRNA from 1 species
GCUCAGAUUGAACGCUGGCGGCAGGCCUAACACAUGCAAGUCGGACGGUAGCACAGAGGAGCUUGCUCCUUGGGUGACGAGUGGCGGACGGGUGAGUAAUGUCUGGGGAUCUGCCCGAUAGAGGGGGAUAACCACUGGAAACGGUGGCUAAUACCGCAUAACGUCGCAAGACCAAAGAGGGGGACCUUCGGGCCUCUCACUAUCGGAUGAACCCAGAUGGGAUUAGCUAGUAGGCGGGGUAAUGGCCCACCUAGGCGACGAUCCCUAGCUGGUCUGAGAGGAUGACCAGCCACACUGGAACUGAGACACGGUCCAGACUCCUACGGGAGGCAGCAGUGGGGAAUAUUGCACAAUGGGCGCAAGCCUGAUGCAGCCAUGCCGCGUGUAUGAAGAAGGCCUUCGGGUUGUAAAGUACUUUCAGCGGGGAGGAAGGCGAUNCGGUUAAUAACCGCGUCGAUUGACG